GAUGAAGAACGCAGCAAAAUGCGAUAAGUAAUGUGAAUUGCAGAAUUCAGUGAAUCAUCGAAUCUUUGAACGCACAUUGCGCCCGCUGGUAUUCCGGCGGGCAUGCCUGUUCGAGCGUCAUUUCAACCCUCAAGCCCCCGGGUUUGGUGUUGGGGAUCGGCUCUGCCCUUCUGGGCGGUGCCGCCCCCGAAAUACAUUGGCGGUCUCGCUGCAGCCUCCAUUGCGUAGUAGCUAACACCUCGCAACUGGAACGCGGCGCGGCCAUGCCGUAAAACCCCAACUUCUGAAUGUUGACCUGAUCAGGUAGGAAUACCCGCUGAACUUAAGCAUAUCAAUAAGCGGAGGA
rnacentral:misc_RNA from 1 species